UGGGAUAAUGGCUUUCGGAUUACAUCUACAGCUGCAACUUUUGAUCAAGCAGCUCUUAUAUUGAGUGUGCCCAGGCGUAAACCUGGUGAUGAAACACAGGAAACCCUACGUACAUCUCAAUUUCCAAGCACACACGUUAAGGAAAAAUGGGCGAAGAACCUCUAUCUGGCGUGUUUGUGCUAUGGACGGACUGUUUCUUGAAAUAUAUGGAUCCAAUGGAGAAUUUUGUGUAAACAAGGAAAAUGAAAAGUGUUGUAUUCUGGCUCUUCCCACUUCCUUUCCCUUCCUCCUGUGUAGUUUCACAUGUUAAUUGUGCAAAAUGGAGUAGGAGAUUUAGCUGCAGUGGAGAAACUAUAGUUGUGUAUGUACGUUUCAUUGAAUUUGUAAUUUGAGCUCUUAUACAAAAGGGUUUAAUGAUCUAG
rnacentral:misc_RNA from 1 species